rnacentral:rRNA from 1 species
UACGUAGGGGGCAAGCGUUGUCCGGAUUUAUUGGGCGUAAAGAGCUCGUAGGCGGCUCGGUAAGUCAGGUGUGAAAACUCUAGGCUCAACCUAGAGACGCCACCUGAUACUGCCGUGGCUAGAGUCCGGUAGGGGAGCAUGGAAUUCCUGGUGUAGCGGUGAAAUGCGCAGAUAUCAGGAGGAACACCAGUGGCGAAGGCGGUGCUCUGGGCCGGAACUGACGCUGAGGAGCGAAAGCGUGGGGAGCAAACAGG